GAUGAACGCUGGCGGCGUGCCUAAUACAUGCAAGUCGAGCGAACAGACGAGGAGCUUGCUCCUCUUACGUUAGCGGCGGACGGGUGAGUAACACGUGGAUACCUACCUAUAAGACUGGGAUAACUCCGGGAAACCGGAGAUAAUACCGGAUAAUAUAUUGAACCGCAUGGCUCAAUAGUAAAAGACGGUUUUGCUGUCACUUAUAGAUGGAUCCGCGCCGCAUUAGCUAGUUGGUAAGGUAACGGCUUACCAAGGCGACGAUGCGUAGCCGACCUGAGAGGGUGAUCGGCCACACGGGAACUGAGACACGGUCCAGACUCCUACGGGAGGCAGCAGUAGGGAAUCUUCCGCAAUGGGCGAAAGCCUGACGGAGCAACGCCGCGUGAGUGAUGAAGGUCUUCGGAUCGUAAAACUCUGUUAUUAGGGAAGAACAAAUGUGUAAGUAACUAUGCACGUCUUGACGGUACCUAAUCAGAAAGCCACGGCUAACUACGUG
rnacentral:rRNA from 1 species